rnacentral:lncRNA from 10 species
CUGCGAGUACAAAGAAGCAUAGUAGCAGCAAAAGUGGGUUCCCAGUGGAGGGCACUGCCAUUUCCCAGUGACCAGCGCACACCUUCUUUAUCUGGGGCAACAUGGAGGAUUGGUUGCCAUUUGAGUUAUUGUUUAAUUACAAGGCCAGAAACCCUCCCUUUUCCUCUCUCUCUUUCUUUUCUCUCCUUUGAUUCCAAAUUGUGAUGUGCUUAGAAGGGAGCUGACAGGAUUGUGGUAGACAAUUCAGUGAUGUGGGCUGCAGGGAGCUGUCUUUGGUGGCCUUCUCUAGGAUAUGGCUGCUCCCACCACCUGUGCCCAACUGAAGACAGAGGCUCCCAAUUCAAGGGGGAACAGGCCCUUGUAUAAGCCCAGGCGAGCCAGCGGAAGCUUUCUGGCACUUAUUUGCUUUCUCAGCUUUAAAAACUCUGUCAUCUGAGACAGACCAAGUAAUUGCUAUGAAAUAAUCUGGGAAGUCACAUCUAGAGAUGAAGGGUAAAUGUAAGUUGCAGGCACUCACAUUCUCUUGCUGCUCUAGGGUAUAAUGGUCCAAUUUUGACCAGUGGAGAAGGCAACACCUUAAGGAGCAGCAUGGUACAGGGAGGAAAGCUCUGGGCUGGGAGUCAGAACAUUUGGACUGUGC